GGCACUUUCGCUCGGUGGACACGAGGCGGACCGUACCCGUUCGCGUGCCGUCCUGGCGCGCACCUUAGCACCGUGGAUCUAAAAUAAAAAGGUAUCGUUCGUUCUACUUUGUAAGUGCGGUUUUUUUUCACCACACAAAGAUGCACGGGACACCUAUCGGUCAGUGAACCCGCCGAACGGACGGAACCGUGUAGCUGCACAUUAUCUACUGCUGCCCUCCUUCUUACCUUCAGCCCCUCGUACGCCACCGACAGGGCGGUCAGCGUGAGACAGAGGGCCACCAUUGGUCCCGUACCGUUCACCGUCAGGCCGGAGAAGAACACGUCGCCCACGUUCGAGCCCCACCAGAAGGACAUGUGCAUCAUCCUCGUGUGUGCAGUAACCGGAUGAACCGAAUCGAUCGACGCGCUUGAUGGUGCCGUGACCAGGAUGAGAGACGCUAGGCAGAGAUGGUGAAUGGAGGGUAGAAGCGAGGUAGCGCUUCGAGCGUCACCGUACGCUAAAGCGGGAUGGCAUUAGGCGGCGCCAAACCAGCUUCGAUCAACGCAAACACACACACACAUUCGUACAGCGACGGAUGGAGGAGUACAUGAUCGACCGAGAUCGAAGCGCCGACGCUGCAACGGGUGAGGCCGUGGUACCGCGGAAUGUGUGCGUGAGCUCUGUGGUGUGCGAGAGAGGUGUGUGACAGGAAGUUUUCAUUUCACGAAUUAUGAGCCCGUCGUGAGUGUGUGUUGUGCACUAACGUCCGGCGGCGCCUAGAGGAUGGUGGAUGAUGGUGUACGAGUUAUAAUUCUUGUCCAGUGGGAUUGCCAUUCGUGAUUACACACGAUCGUUUCCAUGAAGAUUCUAUUCGAUGACAGCUAGAGCAUUUGAUAUUGGUGUACAAAUGUGAACAGGAAGAGUUGCAGUUCAAUAGACAUCUGGAGGACACGCAUCGACCGUAUCGGCUAUUGAUGUACUAAAAUAGGAUCUUUGAAGAAGUUAUAUUAUUCUACAGUCUAGUCAAUCCUGUGUGGCAGCAGAACGCGCAUCAAAGGUACACGCAUAAAACAAUUGUUUUUGUUAGCAUAAUGCUUCUGCAAGCAAAGGGUAUUGCAUCCGGCUUAGUUGAAAGAACUACAUAUCCCAUGUAGGUAGGCGAUCGACGUGCGUUGGUAAAAUAUGUCCCACUGUCGUCAGCGCAAUGACCUGCCAGCUCGAUUGAUGUUUUAAAAUAAUAGCGUCUGAAGUAGCGUUGUUAUCUCAGCAUUGUACUCCUCCAGACCAGUACCACCGUGAAGGAACAUGCUGAUGCGAAAGGCGAAGGAGAUCAUCGCUCUAGCUCUAAGUGUGUGGGACACGUGUAGCAUCAAAAAGACAUUAGAUGUUGUUAGCAUUAGACACUACAAAGUCGAUCGUUCUGCGUUGGUUUGAGGUAUGAAAACACCGGAAGGCAGAUCAAAGUUGGCCAAACAUGGGUGGGAUUUUCGACCAUAUGCGGUACACCUUUCGAAGGCAUCUUUAAAUAGCAACUGCUAGGCUGUAUCCAAAGCACUGACGCAUCGCACAACUACCCACACUGGGGUAAGCAGCAGUGCCUGUACAAUUUGCAACGGGUGCAAUGCUCGAUGCUUCGCGAUCGAUCGCCGUGCCGUGGGAGAUGCUGCGCAAAUGAAAAGAAACGGCGUAGGAAUGAUAAACGGGAAAGGCAGCAAACACAUUCUACACACUCCCUGCCCACGCACAGGAAAUCGUAAAAGUGCAUGUUGCUCGAGUGCGCCCGAUUUGGCGCAAAAAGAAGAAGAGGAAGAAGCCGGGCAGAAGGGCGGCGGCUAAUGCGAUAUAGCUGCGCGUAGCGCGUCGGUGCCAGCACGUCUAGCGCUGAUGGUGCCUCCCCAGCCCCAGUGUGAUGUGGUGGGGAGUUGGAAGUUGGAAGGUUUCCGGCGCGAGGGGAGCGUAUGCUCAGCGAACGAGGAAGCAUACAAAAACACACACACACACACGCACGUACGUACGCAUGCACAUAAACAAGUACGCGUCCAUAUCCGCCGCCGGGGGACACAGCAGGGCUGAUGGGGCGGGCGCGAUCGUUUCAAAAAACGGCGCGCGUUUUGGUUGCCUUUUGCUCGACGCGCUCACGACGCUCCACGCGGCCCCACUCGCUGAGGUUAGGGCGGGUGUUGCGCGAGUGCUCCCCAUCUUCUACACACAGCCACACACUCACCGUAUCCAUGUGUCUCCCUUCCAACGGUUUGUCUCGGGAGCACGGGCCAGACUUUUUGACGCUACGUGUGUUAUUUUCACUGCCGCGCGCUCCGCUUGCUAUCUCUCGCACAUACGCACAAACGGCAUAAAUCUAUUGACCGUGUUCCCUUCCAUUUAUGUGUGUGUGUGUGUGUGUGCUGGGACGACGACGGGUUCUUUAUUUGCCCGUUUAUCAUCUGAAUUUUAUCUCGAAAAAUACUCUUAUCUCAAAUUCAUCACGCGUCUCUCUCUCUCCCUUUUGCUGCGGGGAAAGGGGUGCCCACCGCCGAAUCGGGGGGGUUGUUCGGGUUUCCUCCACGCCAGAGAAUGGAGAGAAGUGUCCAGAACCGGUUAAACCACCACCACCAUCCCCCUCAAGAAAAGGGAUGUAUUGUGUUGUGCCUGCAGCUACCGUGCAUUUUUGGGAACCGAUCGAUUGGAUUUUUUUUUUUGGGAAAUGGUUUAUUUAUAUUAGCCCCAGCGCCUUAGUUGUUCAAACUAUCGAGGUCGUCUUUUCGGCUGGGUCCGUCGAAAUGUGUGUGUGUGUGUGUGUGUGCUCUGUCAGUCUGCGUGGUCGUCUUUUUUUUGGUUGAGAGAUUUUUGUUUUAAUGGGUCUUGUUGCCUGAGAAGAUGUUUUUUCGUUCUGGAGUUCAGAUCUUUAGUAUUAUUUUUAAUGCUUCAUUGAAUUAGUCUCGAUUGAAAGACUUCAAUUGUACCUAAAAGGUUUGGUUA